UAAAAAUUGAAUAACACUUCUUCAUUUUUGCAGUGAAACAUGAAGAAUUGGACAAAUAAUACGGUUUAGAUGUUACUAGCCCAUAGGGAAACCGCAAGAAGGCCCAGAACAACAAAUGAGAAACUCCUUGUUCAGAGAAGAGGCAUCGCUUGAAGACCCUAUUCUUUGAUAAGCACCAAAAACUCUCUUGAUGAUUGACUCUCUUGGUUCCACUUUUCCAGCUUCAGAUCGGCAGCCAACCAUAACCAGUCUAAUAGAGCCAGCUUACUCUGCUGCUCAUGGAUCAAACCCAAAGAAAUCACAAACAUAGGUAUACUGUGAAGACCACUGAAUGUAGCGAGAGAUGAGGUCGUUGAAGCUCUUUCAGAUGGCCUUUUGCGGUUUCCAAGAAAAUGUGUGCACAAUCUUCCAGCGAACAAAAGACUAAGUCAAAAUCGUUUGUCUGUAGACUGAAGUAGUAAGUUAUCUUGGGUGCAAAAAGGUUUUAGAAAUUAGUUGCUUGAAAUGAAAUCAUUCUCUCCCUCCCUUUAUCUUAAGAGUGGUAGGGAGAAAUGGAGGAUAGUAUGUAGUUUCAUUUUCAAAGUUUUUACGAUGGGGUACUCUUUUUGCCUCUCACUCGGAAUUACCGAGCAAUGUUCUGACAAGGCCCAUUGCUAUCCUAUUCGUUAUAAGGUGAUUGAAAGUUAUCAGUGGAAUUCAUUUUCUGAUAAAACCAAAGUUACUUGUUGCUUAGAUGAAAAAUGUAUCAAUGAUAAAUGUGCAGAAUAGAUUAGUAAAUGAGUGAUAGAUAUGAAUCUGUUGC